ACUAGUAUAUUUAUGAGAUUGUCUGAGAUUAGUCAUUAUAUUUACAGUUACGGUAACAUUCCUCCUACAACAUCAGCUUGAUAUACGGCAUAGUACGAUAUUGGGAAACCGCAAGAGCUUAUUAUGUAGAUUAAAUUAUUAAUUAAUUAACAAUGCAAGUGCACAUCAUGUGGGAACAGUCCCUCAAGAGUAAGUAAGAAAGGCUAAACUGAAGAAUAUAAGGUCACAUCAUUAAACAAGUUCCUAAAAGUACCACAGUACUACCAUGUAUAUUUUGCCAUGGUACCAUCAAAUGCAUGUUAUGUUUUGGACAAGUACCAUGAUAUAUUUGUAGGCACCUUAGAGUCCCAUGUAAAUACCUUGGUAUGCAAAUAUAGUAAUCAUUAAAUGUCAUAGUAUAAAACCAUAUACCAUCUGUUUACCAUAAGAUAGAGCUGCCAUCUAUUGUCAUUACUGCACUCUGGUUCCGCCACAGUAUUUUUUGUGAGAGAUGAGCUUGUUUACACCAGACUGAUCUCACUGUGAACUGUGCUUACCGAAAUGUAAACCACUGCCCCCAGUGGCUCAAGCAGGAAGUACUUUUUUUUUUUUUUUUUUUACCUAAGUGCAUGUGUGAGCUCCAGAUUCCAGUUGUACAGCAAGAUGUAAAAAUGUCAUAUUAAAGGGAAAAUGGAACCUCCAAAUAAUUUUCACAAAUUACUUCCUGGCUUCAACACAGCAUGAGAACCUUGGUCUCACACGCAGCUGAUGAAACACUCUAUCAGUCACACCACAGGAAAAUGUAAACACACUUGAACUGAUGCAAAAAAAGUGUCUGAUGAGAGAUGGCGCUUGUCAAUAACUUUGCAAAAUGAGGCAGAUGUCAGAGUACUGGAACAUUCGGAAGAAAUGUGCAUAAUUUCUGUGUGAUCAUGUUGUUUACAUAGAUAAGCCUUCCUAAGGAAAUACUUUGAAACCUAGUUGAACAAACCGCAUGUGUGAUUUGAAUAGAUGAGAGAUAAUAUAGCCAAAUCAUAGCAGAAGGUCAUACAUUUCAGUAGCUACAUCCUCUUUAGUAAAAGGAAGUGAAUCUUGUUAAAUUAUAUAUGCAAAGAGCUGCUAAUUGUGAUUUUCUCUUCUCUAGGGAUUUAAACAGAUACUGUCAAGAGAUAAAGACAACUGUGGAAACUUGAUUUGGGCCUCUGAAAUGACAAUAAUUACAGACAAGGAUAUCAAUCACAUUUUACAGAACAGUGAACCCCUGAAGAUAAUUGGACCAUCACCCAUUGAACCUACAGUAGCCAAAAGAAAAGUUGACCUCCCUGUGACGAGGAAGAGGGUGGGGCUGGGCCAUGAGGACACACGGCAAGCCCUGAAUCUGGCUAAUCAGCCAGGAGGGGGAUAAAGACUAGCCAGAGGCACCAGUUUGAGAGACGCAAGUGGCCGUGUUGCAUUGGUACCAAAACCCAGGAAGAAGGAGGGAUGCGCUGUCGCGGAGUCCUCACUCACGGAACCGAGGCCGUCUGCCGAGAAGAGGAGGAGCGGUUCCAUCUGCCAGGUGCCAGAGGACUCACUGCUGUCCACCUGGGGAGGAUCAAGCUGGCGUCAGCCUGAGGGCGGAGGAGCGGUUGAGGACCAGGCAACAGCAGGAAGGGCAAUGCAACCCCCCUCCAGAAAGGGAGGGGAGACCGUCAUGCCGGGGAUUCCCCCAGACUGAGUCGGGCGAUAGAGGAGUGUGACAAGCAGGAGAGUGGGGCCGGUCCAUGAGGACACACAGCAGGCCCUGAAGGGGGAUAAAGUCUAGUUAGU